rnacentral:ncRNA from 1 species
UUCUUCAGGGUGCUUUCAAGCGGCUUAAUAUACAGGCUGUUGUUAUUGAGACGGACGUCGCCUUUGGCGGUGGUCAUUUCACCGUCGAGCGGGAUAUCAAGAUGUAAGCGAGCACUCACAUCGCCAUCCAGCUGCAGCUGCUGAAGGGUGGCUGCCAGUGACUCUUUCAGCGGCGUGUCUUCAAAAUAGGGGCCGACUGCUUUCCCGGGGCCGUUAAUGUCGGCAUCAAUCAAAAGCUUCUCUUUUGAGUAAUCCGGAAUGUUUGCCGUCAGGUUACUGGCCGUUACGCCGCCCAGCGCCACGUUGUCUGCCUUCAUCCAUAAUCCGUCAUUGAUAAAAUUAAGUUCAAUGUCGAGAUUUUUCAGCGCAGGCCAGCCCGGCUGGAAGGCGAAGGUGGCGUUAUGCAGCGGCAC